UUGAUAAAUGAUAUGAAUGCAGUGUAGUGCACCUGGAGGAGAUAGGAAUUCACUAUUAUCAGACGCUGAGAUGAUUGGCGAGAAAAAUUCUUGAAAAAUCAAAGCCAAAUUCGCGCUUUGGGAUUCGAUGAUAAGUUCAUCAGGACAUGGGAGUACUACUUUGAUUACUGUGCUGCUGGAUUCAAAACAUGCACGCUAGGAGAUUAUCAGAUUGUAUUCUCAAGGCCAGGCAAUGUUGCAGUCUUUGGUGAUCCUUACAAUGGUGUGCCUUCAGCUUAUUUAUAAAGUUUCUUUGUUUGGAAUAUUGGAACUUCCUUUUGGAAAAUAAAUUAAUUCAUCAACACAACAAUCAAGCCAGAUGUGUGUCAAUGGUGUUGGGCUAGACCGGCACAAAGAUACUUUUGACAUGGUGUGUUUCAGCUAACUAGUUUCUGGCACGCGUUGCGCGUGUACCCUGGGCAGCUCAAUAAGUUUGGUGGCCUAAGGCCAAACUUUAGUGGAAGGCCUAAUUUUUUAAAAUUUUUUAAAUAUAUAUUUAUAUUUGAAGUAGAUUUUUCUAGCUUUUAGAGAAUAAAAUUUUUAAUAAUUUUUUACAUAAACCAUUUAAUCUCUCCUGUGACACUAUUGAUCUUAGGUAGUAGAACCUGAUUCAAGAAAUUGAUAACUUUAUAUUAAAAUAAUUUUGAUGUUUCAA